UCCGUAGGUGAACCUGCGGAAGGAUCAUUAUCGAUUCAACCAAAUGAGAGGGGAGUCGUUGUAGCUGUUGCUGGUCUUCUAACGGAGGCAUGUGCACGCUUGACUUCUUCCUUUCUUCAUUUACACACCUGUGAACUUGUUUGUAGGGUGUCUCGCAAGAGAUGCUCUAUGUCUUUUCAUAUACUCCAAUACUAGUCUAUAGAAUGUCAUCUUUUUGCUCUCGUCAGAGACAAAAAUAAAGGCUUUAUAACUUUCAGCAACGGAUCUCUUGGCUCUCGCAUCGAUGAAGAACGCAGCGAAUUGCGAUAUGUAAUGUGAAUUGCAGAUUUUCAGUGAAUCAUCGAAUCUUUGAACGCACCUUGCGCUCCUUGGUAUUCCGAGGAGCAUGCCUGUUUGAGUGUCAUUAAAUUCUCAACUCCCUUUGAUUUCUUCAAUGGUGAGCUUGGAUUGUGGAGGCCUGCUGGCUGUAAAGUCAGCUCCUCUGAAAUGCAUUGGCAAAGGCGUGUGCAUUAAUCGGCCUUUCGGUGUGAUAAUGAUCACCGUGGCUGGCUUGCUAUAAUGCCUAUGUCUGACUUCUUCUCCAUUCAGUUGGAUUAGAAAACCCACUUGACAAUUUGACCUCAAAUCAGGUAGGACUACCCGCUGAACUUAAGCAUAUCAAUAAGCGGAGGA
rnacentral:rRNA from 1 species